AUGACGUCUAUCGAACCAUGGUGCAAAUGGUUUUUUCUUCAAUCUUCAACAGCGGAUCAACUACCAUCGCCAGAGAAAUUGGCGCUCUGGUCAUCGCGUCAUUCGUACAAACAAAAAGAUCAGGGAGUGGCUCAUCUCAACUUGUUCUCUUUACAAUCAACCAUUGAUCUAACUACUGUUGGUUCCUCUUCUGUAUACACACAAGCUUGGACACACGGCGGCUCCGCCCUCCGACAUCUUCCUUCGUCAUCGAUUGCCCAAACGCCGCAUCGAGUCUGUCUCCCGAGUUCUGCUUCAUCCUCGACGGCCUGGCUCCCUGGCGAUGGAUCGCUGCGCCUGGCAGCGCACAACUCCUCCUUCCGGCGACUCGGCCGCAGCUUCUGCAUGGGCUGGCGCCGCGGUGGAUGCACGGACCGGACGCGGCACCAACGCCGGAGCUAUCUACGUCUCUGA
rnacentral:rRNA from 1 species